rnacentral:rRNA from 1 species
UACGUAGGGUGCGAGCGUUGUCCGGAAUUAUUGGGCGUAAAGGGCUCGUAGGCGGUUUGUCGCGUCGGGAGUGAAAUCCACUGGCUUAACUGGUGGCUUGCUUUCGAUACGGGCAGACUGGAGGUAUGCAGGGGAGAACGGAAUUCCUGGUGUAGCGGUGAAAUGCGCAGAUAUCAGGAGGAACACCGGUGGCGACGGCGGUUCUCUGGGCAUGUCCUGACGCUGAGGAGCGAAAGUGUGGGGAGCGAACGGG